GAUGAACGCUGGCGGCGUGCCUAAUACAUGCAAGUCGAGCGAACGGACGAGAAGCUUGCUUCUCUGAUGUUAGCGGCGGACGGGUGAGUAACACGUGGAUAACCUACCUAUAAGACUGGGAUAACUUCGGGAAACCGGAGCUAAUACCGGAUGAUAUUUUGAACCGCACGGUUCAAAAGUGAAAGACGGUAUUGCUGUCACUUAUAGAUGGAUCCGCGCUGCAUUAGCUAGUUGGUAAGGUAACGGCUUACCAAGGCAACGAUGCAUAGCCGACCUGAGAGGGUGAUCGGCCACACUGGAACUGAGACACGGUCCAGACUCCUACGGGAGGCAGCAGUAGGGAAUCUUCCGCAAUGGGCGAAAGCCUGACGGAGCAACGCCGCGUGAGUGAUGAAGGUCUUCGGAUCGUAAAACUCUGUUAUUAGGGAAGAACAUAUGUGUAAGUAACUGUGCACAUCUUGACGGUACCUAAUCAGAAAGCCACGGCUAACUACGUG
rnacentral:rRNA from 1 species